rnacentral:rRNA from 1 species
UACAGGGGGGGCAAGCGUUGUUCGGAAUUACUGGGCGUAAAGGCUCGUAGGCGGCCAACUAAGUCGGAUGUGAAAUCCCCAGGCUUAACCUGGGAACUGCAUCCGAUACUGGAUGGCUUGAAUCCGGGAGAGGGAUGCAGAAUUCCAGGUGUAGCGGUGAAAUGCGUAGAUAUCUGGAGGAAUACCGGUGGCGAAGGCGGCAUCCUGGACCGGCAUUGACGCUGAGGAGCGAAAGCUAGGGGAGCAAACGGG